GCGGCCCCUUCGGAGCACAUAUACGAAAACUGGAACAAUUCAGAGAUCAGCACGGCCCCAAAAGGAUGGCACACAAAUCUGUGAAAUGUCUCAUAUCGCA
ensembl:snRNA U6 U6 spliceosomal RNA